rnacentral:rRNA from 1 species
GAACGAAGCACUUAAGAAUGAUUCUUCGGAUGAAUUCUUUUGUGACUUAGUGGCGGACGGGUGAGUAACGCGUGGGUAACCUGCCUCACACAGGGGGAUAACAGUUGGAAACGACCGCUAAUACCGCAUAACCCGCUAGGGCCGCAUGGCCCGGACGGAAAAGAUUUAUCGGUGUGAGAUGGACCCGCGUUGGAUUAGCUAGUUGGCAGGGUAACGGCCUACCAAGGCGACGAUCCAUAGCCGGCCUGAGAGGGUGAACGGCCACAUUGGGACUGAGACACGGCCCAAACUCCUACGGAAGGCAGCAGUGGGGAAUAUUGCACAAUGGGGGAAACCCUGAUGCAGCGACGCCGCGUGAGUGAAGAAGUAUCUCGGUAUGUAAAGCUCUAUCAGCAGGGAAGAAAAUGACGGUACCUGACUAAGAAGCCCCGGCUAACUACGUGCCAGCAGCCGCGGUAAUACGUAGGGGGCAAGCGUUAUCCGGAUUUACUGGGUGUAAAGGGAGCGUAGACGGCUAAGCAAGUCAGGAGUGAAAGGCUGGGGCUCAACCCCGGGACUGCUUUUGAAACUGUUUGGCUAGAGUGCUGGAGAGGUAAGCGGAAUUCCUAGUGUAGCGGUGAAAUGCGUAGAUAUUAGGAGGAACACCAGUGGCGAAGGCGGCUUACUGGACAGUAACUGACGUUGAGGCUCGAAAGCGUGGGGAGCAAACAGGAUUAGAUACCCUGGUAGUCCACGCCGUANACGAUGAAUACUAGGUGUCGGGGAGCACAGNUCUUCGGUGCCGCCGCAAACGCAAUAAGUAUUC